rnacentral:tRNA from 1 species
GCCUGGGUGGCUCAGUCAGUUGAGCGACUGACUUCAGCUCAGGUCAUGAUCUCACAGUCUGUGAGUUCAAGUCCCGUCUCGGGCU